CUGCCGACUCAACCGACAAGCCUAGGCUCAAGGCUAUCAGUUGAAGAAUGGCAGCUUCGGGACCAAAGUCGCUGAAAGAAUAUCUUAAAAAAUAUGAAAGUACGACUAAUGAAGAAGAGAAGAAAAAGAAGAAAAAGAAGAAGAAACCAGAUUCAAAUCGCGGUACAGGAGUUCUGGUGGUCGAUGAAGAUCCUGUUUGGCAAAAACCCGUAAUUCUUGAAGAAGAGGACAAUGAUUCAGCUGAUGAAGAGAAGCCCCUAGUUGAUGAAGAUGUUGAAGUCAGGCGAAUGAAACGGCUGGAACAACUUAGGUUGAGAAGGCCCUACAAUGCUAUAGCUGAGGAUGGAAGUGGUUGGGUUUCACUUGGUCCUGGACGCUCAGAUUUUAACCAACCAAAUUCUGAUAUGUCCCCACCUCGUAAAAGGAGGGCUCAAAAUGAUACCCCUUCACCAGAACCUGAAACAAAGCCACCAGGUUCUGUCAGAGAAAGUGCUGAUUUAUCUCCUCCACGAUUACGGAGGAAUCGCCAGGAUACUCCAUCUCCUUCCAAUUCUAAUUUGUCUCCACCACGUAGGCAUAGGGCUCAAAAUGAUGUACCUUCACCUGCAAUAGAGGAUAAUGAUUUGUCACCUCCAAGGCAGAGACAGAUACGGAGACGAUAUCAAGUGCCAUCUCCUGAACCUGACCGAAAACCUGGACAGUCCACUGGGCUGGAUUCUGACCUAUCACCACCUUGGAAACGUAGAGCUAGGAAUGACUCACCCUCACCAGAACUUGAACUUAAACCUGCCAGAGAAGAUACUGACUUGUCACCUCCUCGACAGCGUGGGAAACGUCAUCACACUCCAUCACCUGGACCUGACAUUUCUGUUUCGCGGCGAGCUAAUCAGGUUUCAUCUAAUCGAGAUGAUAUGCGUGUCUCUGAAUUGGAUCUUUCACCGCCAAGGAAAAAUAAGAAGGAUGCUGACCUUUCCCCACCCAGGAGGACUCGGAAAGAAGAAUUGUCUGUUUCAGCUCCCUCGAAAGCGCUGCCAAGAACUGGAUUAAUUAGUGGCAAUGAUAUCCGGGAAGAAAUUUCUAAAACUAAGAAUGAGGAUUUGUUGAGGUUUCAAGGGAUGGAUCCUUCUAUAACUGGACGAGGUGCCGAAGCUGUAUAUCGUGAUAAGAUGAAAGGGGAACGUGUAUCGAAGGAUGAUUACUUAAAAUCAAAACAAAAAGGACAAGAAAAACCCAAGGAGAUUAAAUUAGAAUGGGGGAAAGGCUUGGCUCAAAAGCGGGAAGCUGAAGCUAGAGUGCAGGAAUUAGAACUUGAAAAGGAAAAACCGUUUGCGCGAAACAGAGAUGACCCAGAGCUCGACAAAAUGAUGAAGGAUAGACUAAGAUGGGGUGACCCUAUGGCUCAUUUGGUCAAGAAAAAGUAUUCUGACCCAGUUCUUCUGGACCUCGGGGAGAAUGAGAAGAUGAAGGAAUCAGGAUUUAUAAUUCCUCAGGACAUUCCUAGUCACAGCUGGAUAAAAAGAGGACUAGAUGCAGCACCAAAUCGGUAUGGUAUAAGACCAGGAAGGCAUUGGGAUGGGGUCGAUCGUAGUACUGGAUAUGAACAGCAAUUGUUCAAAAGGACGAAUGAGAAACGCGCUACAGAGAGAGAAGCUUACCUGUGGUCGGUAUCAGAUAUGUAACUUGAAGUUUGCCAUCUUGGUAGAUAUGAGAUACCCAAUUACUUUGUCUCCAAGCGGGACCUGGAAAUAUGUAACAGUGGAAAAUGGUGCUUGUUUGAGCUUCAUGCUCAAUAUCAGCUGCAUGUAUUGUUGGUGUAAGUAAUGGCCAUCUCAGACUGCAACAGUUUUUCAAGUAUAAGAAAUGAGACAAUUUAAUCCUUUCCAUUUAGCAGUUUUAUUCUUGGACAUACAAGCAUAAAGUAAUUUGUAGCUUGAUAGAUGGAUUUUUGACUCAUGAGACCAAAGAGGCUCUGUUCUGAGUGUGAAGCUGAUGCUUUGAAGUGAUUAUCUUCCAUUAAGCUAGUCAAAAUGGGUAGUAAUCUUAAAGAAGAUUUUAAUUACUGAAGUAUGUGACACGCAGAUAUUUUACAUAACCAUUAAUUCUUCUUUUGAUGUGAUCUUUUAUAAACAUUAUUUAUGUUU